ensembl:misc_RNA Metazoa_SRP Metazoan signal recognition particle RNA
GCCAGGUGCAGUGGCACAUGUGUGUAGUCCCAGCUACUUGGGAAGCUGAGGCAGGAGGACUGCUUGAGCCCAGAAGUUCUGGGCUGUGAUGUGCUAUGCUGGUCGGAUGUCCGCAUUAAGUUCGGCAUCAGUAUGGUGACCUCCCGGGAGCGGGGGACCAUCAGGUUGCCUAAGGAGGGGUGAACCGGCCCAGGUCAGAAAUAGAGGAGGUCAAAAAAAUAGGGGUGAACAGUGGCUUUCUUUGGGUGAGAGAAUUAUGGGCGAUUUCUUCUCUUUCUGCUUUUU